UACGUAGGGGGCAAGCGUUGUCCGGAUUCAUUGGGCGUAAAGAGCGUGUAGGCGGCCAGGUAGGUCGGUUGUGAAAACUGGAGGCUCAACCUUCAGAGGUCGACCGAAACCAUCUGGCUAGAGUCCGGGAGAGGAGAGUGGAAUUCCUGGUGUAGCGGUGAAAUGCGCAGAUAUCAGGAGGAACACCUGAGGCGAAGGCGGGCUACUGGGCCGAUACUGACGCUGAUGCGCGAAAGCCAGGGGAGCGAACGGG
rnacentral:rRNA from 1 species